rnacentral:rRNA from 1 species
GAUGAACGCUGGCGGCGUGCCUAAUACAUGCAAGUCGAGCGAACGGACGAGAAGCUUGCUUCUCUGAUGUUAGCGGCGGACGUGUGAGUAACACGUGGAUCACCUACCUAUAAGACUGGGAUAACUUCGGGAAACCGGAGCUAAUACCGGAUAAUAUUUUGAACCGCAUGGUUGAAAAGUGAAAGACGGUCUUGCUGUCACUUAUAGAUGGAUCCGCGCUGCAUUAGCUAGUUGGUAAGGUAACGGCUUACCAAGGCAACGAUGCAUAGCCGACCUGAGAGGGUGAUCGGCCACACUGGAACUGAGACACGGUCCAGACUCCUACGGGAGGCAGCAGUAGGGAAUCUUCCGCAAUGGGCGAAAGCCUGACGGAGCAACGCCGCGUGAGUGAUGAAGGUCUUCGGAUCGUAAAACUCUGUUAUUAGGGAAGAACAUAUGUGUAAGUAACUGUGCACAUCUUGACGGUACCUAAUCAGAAAGCCACGGCUAACUACGUG